rnacentral:lncRNA from 1 species
UCUUGAUCCUUGUGGAAGACGAGGAAACAAUUCCCAUCCCUCUAUUUGUUCUGAACAUUGAAAACAGUAUCCUAGUGCCUUUACAUGGUCCUACAUGAGCGAGAGGAAACCCGGAUGGCCGAGCCUUCCCUGCCACUCAAGGAAGGGGGCACAUGGCCUGGGUCCCUCGUCCAGGCAUCCAUAUCUCGGUUUUCUCAGUUGUCAUGUG